rnacentral:rRNA from 1 species
AGAGUUUGAUCAUGGCUCAGAAUCAACGCUGGCGGCGUGCCUCAGACAUGCAAGUCGAACGCGAAAGUUUCCUUCGGGGAGCGAGUAGAGUGGCGCACGGGUGAGUAACACGUAGGUAAUCUACCUUUGGAUUGGGAAUAACACCGAGAAAUCGGUGCUAAUACCGAAUAAUGCAGCGGCACCUAAUGGUGACAGUUGUUAAAGCGGGGGAUCGCAAGACCUCGCGUCUAAAGAGGAGCCUGCGGCGGAUUAGCUAGUUGGUAAGGUAACGGCUUACCAAGGCGAUGAUCCGUAGCCGGCCUGAGAGGGCGGUCGGCCACACUGACACUGACAUACGGGUCAGACUCCUACGGGAGGCAGCAGUCGGGAAUUUUGGGCAAUGGGCGAAAGCCUGACCCAGCAACGCCGCGUGAAGGAUGAAAUCCCUCGGGAUGUAAACUUCGCAAGAACGGGAAGAAUAAGUGAGAGUUAACACCUCUUACGAUGACGGUACUGUUUGUAAGCUCCGGCUAACUCCGUGCCAGCAGCCGCGGUAAUACGGGGGGAGCAAGCGUUGUUCGGAUUUACUGGGCGUAAAGGGCGCGUAGGCGGCCACCGCAAGUCGACUGUGAAAUCUCCGGGCUUAACUCGGAAAGGUCAGCCGAUACUGCGGGGCUAGAGUGCAGAAGGGGCAACUGGAAUUCUCGGUGUAGCGGUGAAAUGCGUAGAUAUCGAGAGGAACACCUGCGGCGAAGGCGGGUUGCUGGGCUGACACUGACGCUGAAGCGCGAAAGCUAGGGGAGCGAACGGGAUUAGAUACCCCGGUAGUCCUAGCCUUAAACGAUGAAUGCUUGGUGUCUGGGGUUUUAUAGUCCCCGGGUGCCGUCGCUAACGCUUUAAGCAUUCCGGCCUGGGGAGUACGGUCGCAAGACUGAAACUCAAAGGAAUUGACGG